rnacentral:rRNA from 1 species
UACGUAGGGUGCGAGCGUUAAUCGGAAUUACUGGGCGUAAAGCGUGCGCAGGCGGUUCGUUGUGUCGGCGGUGAAAGCCCCGGGCUUAACCUGGGAAUGGCAUUUGGGACUGCAAGGCUUGAGUUUGGCAGAGGAGACUGGAAUUCCCGGUGUAGCGGUGAAAUGCGCAGAUAUCGGGAGGAACACCAAUGGCGAAGGCAGCUCGCUGGGACGUGACUGACGCUGAGACGCGAAAGCGUGGGGAGCAAACAGG